ACGAGUGGCGAACGGGUGAGUAAUACAUCGGAACGUGCCCAGUCGUGGGGGAUAACACUCGAAAGAGUAGCUAAUACCGCAUACGAUCUGAGGAUGAAAGCGGGGGACCUUCGGGCCUCGCGCGAUUGGAGCGGCCGAUGGCAGAUUAGGUAGUUGGUGGGAUAAAAGCUUACCAAGCCGACGAUCUGUAGCUGGUCUGAGAGGACGACCAGCCACACUGGGACUGAGACACGGCCCAGACUCCUACGGGAGGCAGCAGUGGGGAAUUUUGGACAAUGGGCGAAAGCCUGAUCCAGCAAUGCCGCGUGCAGGAUGAAGGCCUUCGGGUUGUAAACUGCUUUUGUACGGAACGGAAAAAGCUUCUCCUAAUACGAGAGGCCCAUGACGGUACCGUAAGA
rnacentral:rRNA from 1 species